UUCACCUAACAUCCCCAACCCAUCACCAGUAUUGAAUAAAUUCAUAACCUAUGAAACUAUUAUGCUAGAACUAGUAACAAGAAAAUGAAUUUCUCCCAAUUGGUAGCAUAAACCAAAAUGGACACUACACUGGGGAUUAACGACUAUGAACCCCUUAUAUAGUAACAUAACUAGAAAAUCCUAUAUUUAAUCCCGUUAACCUUACACAAGAACUCUACUGGAAAGAUUAAAAGGAAGAGAAGGAACUCGGCAAAUCUUAACCCCGCCUGUUUACCAAAAACAUCGCCUCUUGAUCAGAUAUAAGAGGUCCAGCCUGCCCAGUGUUUUAGUUUUAAUCAACGGCCGCGUGAUUUAAACGCGCGAAGGUAGCAUAAUAAUUUGUUCUUUAAAUGAGGACUUGUAUCAAUGGCAUCACGAGGGUUAUACUGUCUCCUCUCCCCAAUCAGUGAAACUAAUCUCCUUGUGAAAAGCAAGGAUAAGAUCAUAAGACGAGAAGACCCCAUGGAGCUUAAACACGCAACAACCCUAAUAUCAUAACAAUUUAUUUUAAGCCCUGUAUGUAGUUUAGGUGGGGUGACAAGGAGUAAACAAAGCCCC
rnacentral:rRNA from 1 species